CCUACGGGAGGCAGCAGUGGGGAAUAUUGGGCAAUGGGCGCAAGCCUGACCCAGCAACGCCGCGUGAAGGAAGAAGGCUUUCGGGUUGUAAACUUCUUUUCUCAGGGACGAAGCAAGUGACGGUACCUGAGGAAUAAGCCACGGCUAAAUACGUGCCAGCAGCCGCGGUCAUACGUGGGUGGCAAGCGUUAUCCGGAUUUACUGGGUGUAAAGGGCGUGUAGGCGGGACUGCAAGUCAGAGGUUAAAACCACGGGCUCAACCUGUGGCCUGCAUUUGAAACUGUAGUUCUUGAGUACUGGAGAGGCAGACGGAAUUCCUAGUGUAGCGGUGAAAUGCGUAGAUAUUAGGAGGAACACCAGUGGCGAAGGCGGUCUGCUGGACAGCAACUGACGCUGAGGCGCGAAAGCGUGGGGAGCAAACAGGAUUAGAUACCCUUGUAGUC
rnacentral:rRNA from 1 species